AGUGAACGCUGGCGGUAGGCCUAACACAUGCAAGUCGAACGGCAGCACAGUAAGAGCUUGCUCUUACGGGUGGCGAGUGGCGGACGGGUGAGGAAUACAUCGGAAUCUACUUUUUCGUGGGGGAUAACGUAGGGAAACUUACGCUAAUACCGCAUCCGACCUACGGGUGAAAGCAGUGGAUCUUCGGACCUUGCGCGAUUGAAUGAGCCGAUGGCGGAUUAGGUAGUUGGCGGUGUAAAGUCCCACCAAGGCGCGGAUCCGUAGCUGGUCUGAGAGGAUGAUCAGGCAUGAUAGAACGGAGACACGGUCUAGACUCCUACGAGAGGCAGCAGUGGGGAAUAUUGGACAAGGGGCGCAAACCGGAUACAGCCAUACCGCGUGAGUGAAGAAGGCCGUCGGGUUGUAGAGCGCUUUUGUUGGGAAAGAAAAGCAGCAGGUUAAUAACCCGCUGGUCUGACGGUACCCAAAGAAUAAGCACCCGCUAACCUCG
rnacentral:rRNA from 1 species